rnacentral:rRNA from 1 species
CCUACGGGGGGCAGCAGUGAGGAAUAUUGGUCAAUGGACGAGAGUCUGAACCAGCCAAGUAGCGUGAAGGAUGACUGCCCUAUGGGUUGUAAACUUCUUUUAUAUGGGAAUAAAAUGUUCCACGUGUGGGAUUUUGUAUGUACCAUAUGAAUAAGGAUCGGCUAACUCCGUGCCAGCAGCCGCGGUAAUACGGAGGAUCCGAGCGUUAUCCGGAUUUAUUGGGUUUAAAGGGAGCGUAGGUGGAUUGUUAAGUCAGUUGGGAAAGUUUGGGGCUCAACCGUAAAAGUGCAGUUGAAACUGGCAGUCUUGAGUACAGUAGAGGUGGGCGGAAUUCGUGGUGUAGCGGUGAAAUGCUUAGAUAUCACGAAGAACUCCGAUUGCGAAGGCAGCUCACUGGACUGCAACUGACACUGAGGCUCGAAAGUGUGGGUAUCAAACAGGAUUAGAUACCCGGGUAGUC